AGAUUCAUGAUCGAUGGUGCGUGAGAUCAACAGAACAAAAACAAGACCCUACGGCCCAUUAGACAGCCCAAGAUCAACUUAAACAGCCCAGUUGCCUGCACACGAGCGAGCAGAGAGGGAAAAGACGCACACGGUCGCAGAAACGGCGCGAGGCCGACGGAAAAGGGCGCGAGAACCAGAGAAAGGGCGCAAGAACCAGACAAAGGGCGCGAAAAAUACCAUCGCCGGAGGGGACGAGCUCUGGCGACAAGCUGCUCUUCAAUCGUGUAAGUCUGAUCUUGCUCCUAACAUCUUCAGCUGAAUGGUUGAGAUUGUUGUGAAGCGGUUGAUCAUCAGAUUGUUCUGAACUUGAUCAGGUGGUUCCUUCUCUCAUGAAAGAACCACCUGGUUGAGAUGGAAGAAGAGGGCAACAAAGCAGACAAUGAGUCCAAUGCAGCUAUACUACCAGAUUUCAUACCUCAAGUUGGCAUGGAAUUUGGAAGUUCAGAUGAGGCUUGGGCAUUUUGGCUUCGUUAUGGUGGGCACAGAGGCUUUGAAGUUAGAAAAAGGUACACAAACAAAAGGGAGUCUGAUGGCAAGAUUACAUCAUGUAAAUUUGUUUGUGCAAAUGAGGGUCAUCGAGUAGCAGACAAAAGGGAUCAUUUAACAAAGUGCCCUCGAGCUGAAACUAGAACAGACUGUCAAGUUCACAUGAAUCUUAAACUUGAUAGGAAAAAGGAAAUUUUUAAGUAUCUUAUGUGUUUUUGGAACACAAUCACAAACUACACCUUCCUGAAAUCUUACACUUAAUGGUGUCGCGGAGAAAAAUUCCAGAUUUACAAGCAUUUGAAAUUGAAACAGCAGAUGAUGCUGGAAUUGGACCAAAAGCUGCGCAUGAGUUGGCUUGUCGCCAAGUUGGCGGACCACUCAAUCUUAGCUACACCCUUCGUGAUCACAAGAAUUAUUUACGGUCCAAGCGCCAACAAGAAUUAUUUACGGUCCAAUCUGCAGGGACCAAUUAUUGAUGACUUUGAUGGUGAAGAGGCUUUGAUGGACAAGGAGAAGGAUUCCAAUGAGAAGAUGGCCCUCAAAAGCUUCACCCAACUCUUGACUGGACCAAUCAGUGAUGAUCUUCUUACUGGAGAUUUAUUGUAGUAACUCGGGUUUGCUGUUUUGCUCCAAGUGGGCAUAUGCGUUCACCUUUCUUUUGCUAUUUUGCAAGCAUCCUAGAAGCAUGGAUAACUUUAGUUCUGUGUAAUUUAUGUAUUUACCUUCCUGUGAUUUGAAUGUAUGAAUGCAUUUGACAGCAUGCAGAAAUCUCUGCAGGAAUCUCAACAUUUUCUCAA